CGUUAGUCAAUCUCCCUCUCUCUGUUGGGGUUCACAAAACCUUCCCAUAGUAACUCAGCGGGUCAAAGCCUUCCUUCCGCACUUUGAAUUCAAAUUAAGAUAUUUUAGGUUAUCCACUGGAUUUCAGCAGGACAUAGGGACUGAUGUGACUUGCCUGCUAGAGAAGGAGUACUGUACUUACAUGGCAUGCAUAGUGGGUAACCUUCAGCAUUUUACUGUAACAACUUCAUGGUGAGUACUGGCACAUCUCUCUUUUGGUUUAAAAGUGUGACACUUACCGUAACAAUUUCUUGGUGAGUACCGGCACCUAUUUUUCUAGGGGGGGGGGGGAGCACUGGCCAACGUUAAGCCAAUUUGCCAGCUUGGACUUAUUUGUAUCUGCCCAUUUUUACACCUCC